UACGGAGGGUGCGAGCGUUGUCCGGAAUCACUGGGCGUAAAGGGCGCGUAGGCGGCUCAUGAAGGCUGUGGUGAAAGUCCGGGGCUCAACCUCGGAUCGGCCGUGGCGACUCGUGGGCUGGAGCACUGUAGAGGCGGGUGGAAUUCCGGGUGUAGCGGUGGAAUGCGUAGAGAUCCGGAAGAACACCGGUGGCGAAGGCGGCCCGCUGGGCAGUGGCUGACGCUGAGGCGCGACAGCGUGGGGAGCAAACAGG
rnacentral:rRNA from 1 species